rnacentral:lncRNA from 1 species
ACACGACGCGCUUCCGAUGACCCUUCACUUCAGUCCUCAAGGUUUUCACUUGAGUAUUUGCUACUACCACCAAGAUCUGCACCAGCGGCGGCUCCAGGCGGGCUCACGCCCGGCACCUUCAACGCACACCGCGCUGCGGCCCUCCUACACGUCGCGGCUUAGCACCCCCACAUUUCGUGCUUCUCUGGCAGCGACGGCCGGGGAUAGGCGCGACGCUAGAGCGCCAUCCAUUUUCGGGGCUAGUUGCUUCGGCAGGUGAGUUGUUACACACUCC